rnacentral:rRNA from 1 species
UGUGUUGCUUGCAAGGGCGUAUGGUGGAUGCCUUGGCAGACAGGACCGAUGAAGGACGUUUGAGGCUGCGAUAUGCCUCGGGGAGCCGCCAACAGGGCUUUGAUCCGAGGAUUUCCGAAUGGGGGAACCCACCGACCGUCAUGGGUCGGUACCGGCUUCGGCCGGGGGGUACGCAGGGAAGUGAAACAUCUCAGUACCUGCAGGAAAGGAUAUUCCGUGAGUAGUGGCGAGCGAAAGCGGAUGAUGGCCAAACCUUGCGCGUGUGAUACCCGUCGGGGGUUGCGCGCGGGGUGUUGCGGGAUCGCGUGCGCCGGCUCCGACGGGCCGGCCGGCAGUUGCAGAAAACCAUGUGUCAGGGGAACCGGGUUGAAUACCGGGCCGCAGAGGGUGAGGGCCCCGUACCUGAACGCGCAUGGUCUGCCGAUCGCGUCUCCCAAGUAGCACGGGUCCCGUGGAACCCCGUGCGAAUCCGCCCAGACCGUUGGGUAAGCCUGAAUAUUCCUGUCUGACCGAUAGCGAACGAGUACCGUGAGGGAAAGGUGAAAAGUACCCCGGGAGGGGAGUGAAACAGUCUCUGAAACCGUGCGCCUACAAUCCGUCGGAGCCCUUUUGUGGGGUGACGGCGUGCCUAUCGAAAAAUGAGUCUGCGAGUCAGUGGCAUGUGGCGAGCAUAACCCGUGUGGGGUAUGCGUAGCGAAGGCGAGUCUUAAAAGGCGUUUGAGUCGCGUGUCCUGGACCCGAAGCGGGAUGAUCUAGCCCUGAGCAGGUUGAAGCGCGGGUAAGACCGCGUGGAGGACCGAACCCACCUGGGUUGAAAACCGGGGGGAUGACUUGGGGCUAGGGGUGAAAGGCCAAUCAAAUUCCGUGAUAGCUGGUUCUCUCCGAAAUGCAUUUGGGUGCAGCGUCGGGUCAUUACGUCCCGGGGGUAGAGCUACUGGAUGCUUGCGGGCCCGUAUCGGGUACCAACAGCAACCAAACUCCGAAUACCGGUGACGCGUAUCCCGGCAGUGAGUCGGCGGGGGAUAAGCUUCGUCGUCGAAAGGGAAACAGCCCAGACCGUCGUCUAAGGUCCCGAAGCGUGUGCUAAGUGGGAAAGGAUGUGGAGUCGCAUAGACAGCCAGGAGGUUGGCUCAGAAGCAGCCACCCUUGAAAGAGUGCGUAACAGCUCACUGGUCUAGUGGUUCCGCGCCGACAAUGUAGCGGGGCUCAAGCACACCACCGAAGACGCGGCAGUAUUUUGUACUGGGUAGGAGAGCGUCCCAUGAGGGGCGAAGCGGCCGUGUGAACGCGCCGUGGACUUCAUGGGAGUGAGAAUGCAGACAUGAGUAGCGAGAGACGGGUGAAGAUCCCGUCCGCUGGAUGACCAAGGGUUCCAGGGCCACGUUCAUCGUCCCUGGGUGAGUCGGGUCCUAAGGCGAGGCCGACAGGCGUAGUCGAAUGGAUGAACGGGUCGAUAUUCCCGUACCGGCUUUCAGCCGCCAAAACCGAGGCUUGGAGUACUAACCUCCGGGUCCGGGCUUACUGCUCCUUCGGGGGCGGGAUGCCCUGGCCUGUUGGGACCGAUCCUUGUAGUAGGUCAGCGCAGGAGUGACGCAGAAGGGUAGCCGGCCGCGGAGGUGGUCUUCCGUGGUCAAGCACGCAGGGCGUGGGACAGGCAAAUCCGUCCCGCAUGGGUCCGAGGUGCGAUGAUGGGGGCCUUAUGGCCCGAUAUCCGGUGAUCCCGGCUGCCGAGAAAAGCUUCGGCGUCAGGCUCGAAGCCGCCCGUACCCCAAACCGACACUGGUGGUCAGGUAGAGAAUACCAAAGCGAUCGAGCGAAUCCUGGUCAAGGAACUCGGCAAAUCACUCCCGUUCCUUCGGUUUAAGGGAGACCCCCGAUGGUGAACACACUUGCUGUGGGAGCUUUUGGGGGUGGCACAGACCAGGGGGUAGCGACUGUUUACCAAAAACACAGGUGCAUGCGAAGGCGCAAGCCGCUGUAUAUGCACUGACGCCUGCCCGGUGCCGGAAGGUUAAGAGGAUCCGUCAGCC